UUAAGCGACUAAGCGUACACGGUGGAUGCCCUGGCAGUCAGAGGCGAUGAAGGACGUGCUAAUCUGCGAAAAGCGUCGGUAAGGUGAUAUGAACCGUUACAGCCGGCGAUGUCCGAAUGGGGAAACCCAGUGCAAUUCGUUGCACUAUCGUUUGAUGAAUACAUAGUCAAACGAGGCGAACCGGGGGAACUGAAACAUCUAAGUACCCCGAGGAAAAGAAAUCAACCGAGAUUCCCCCAGUAGCGGCGAGCGAACGGGGAGCAGCCCGGAGUCUGAAUCAGCUUGUGUGUUAGUGGAAGCGUCUGGAAAGUCGCAGGGUACAGGGUGAUACUCCCGUACACUAAAACGCACAGGUUGUGAACUCGAAGAGUAGGGCGGGACACGUGGUAUCCUGUCUGAAUAUGGGGGGACCAUCCUCCAAGGCUAAAUACUCCUGACUGACCGAUAGUGAACCAGUACCGUGAGGGAAAGGCGAAAAGAACCCCGGCGAGGGGAGUGAAAAAGAACCUGAAACCGUGUACGUACAAGCAGUAGGAGCCCACUAGUUGGGUGACUGCGUACCUUUUGUAUAAUGGGUCAGCGACUUAUAUUCUGUAGCAAGGUUAACCGUAUAGGGGAGCCGCAGGGAAACCGAGUCUUAACUGGGCGUUAAGUUGCAGGGUAUAGACCCGAAACCCGGUGAUCUAGCCAUGGGCAGGUUGAAGGUUGGGUAACACUAACUGGAGGACCGAACCGACUAAUGUUGAAAAAUUAGCGGAUGACUUGUGGCUGGGGGUGAAAGGCCAAUCAAACCGGGAGAUAGCUGGUUCUCCCCGAAAGCUAUUUAGGUAGCGCCUCGUGAACUCAUCUUCGGGGGUAGAGCACUGUUUCGGCUAGGGGGUCAUCCCGACUUACCAACCCGAUGCAAACUACGAAUACCGAAGAAUGUUAUCACGGGAGACACACGGCGGGUGCUAACGUCCGUCGUGAAGAGGGAAACAACCCAGACCGCCAGCUAAGGUCCCAAAGUCAUGGUUAAGUGGGAAACGAUGUGGGAAGGCCCAGACAGCCAGGAUGUUGGCUUAGAAGCAGCCAUCAUUUAAAGAAAGCGUAAUAGCUCACUGGUCGAGUCGGCCUGCGCGGAAGAUGUAACGGGGCUAAACCAUGCACCGAAGCUGCGGCAGCGACACUAUGUGUUGUUGGGUAGGGGAGCGUUCUGUAAGCCGUUGAAGGUGGCCUGUGAGGGUUGCUGGAGGUAUCAGAAGUGCGAAUGCUGACAUAAGUAACGAUAAUGCGGGUGAAAAACCCGCACGCCGGAAGACCAAGGGUUCCUGUCCAACGUUAAUCGGGGCAGGGUGAGUCGACCCCUAAGGCGAGGCCGAAAGGCGUAGUCGAUGGGAAACAGGUUAAUAUUCCUGUACUCGGUGUUACUGCGAAGGGGGGACGGAGAAGGCUAUGUUGGCCGGGCGACGGUUGUCCCGGUUUAAGCAUGUAGGCGGAUGUUCCAGGUAAAUCCGGAACGUCACUAACGCUGAGGUGUGAUGACGAGGCACUACGGUGCUGAAGUGACAAAUGCCCUGCUUCCAGGAAAAGCCUCUAAGCAUCAGGUAACAUCAAAUCGUACCCCAAACCGACACAGGUGGUCAGGUAGAGAAUACCAAGGCGCUUGAGAGAACUCGGGUGAAGGAACUAGGCAAAAUGGUGCCGUAACUUCGGGAGAAGGCACGCUGAUGGUAGGUGAAGCGACUUGCUCGUGGAGCUGAAAUCAGUCGAAGAUACCAGCUGGCUGCAACUGUUUAUUAAAAACACAGCACUGUGCAAACACGAAAGUGGACGUAUACGGUGUGACGCCUGCCCGGUGCCGGAAGGUUAAUUGAUGGGGUUAUCCGUAAGGAGAAGCUCUUGAUCGAAGCCCCGGUAAACGGCGGCCGUAACUAUAACGGUCCUAAGGUAGCGAAAUUCCUUGUCGGGUAAGUUCCGACCUGCACGAAUGGCGUAAUGAUGGCCAGGCUGUCUCCACCCGAGACUCAGUGAAAUUGAACUCGCUGUGAAGAUGCAGUGUACCCGCGGCAAGACGGAAAGACCCCGUGAACCUUUACUAUAGCUUGACACUGAACACUGGUCCUUGAUGUGUAGGAUAGGUGGGAGGCUUUGAAGUGUGGACGCCAGUCUGCAUGGAGCCAUCCUUGAAAUACCACCCUUUAAUGGCUGGUGUUCUAACGUGGGCCCGUAAUCCGGGUUGCGGACAGUGUCUGGUGGGUAGUUUGACUGGGGCGGUCUCCUCCUAAAGAGUAACGGAGGAGCACGAAGGUCAGCUAAUCCUGGUCGGACAUCAGGAGGUUAGUGCAAUGGCAUAAGCUGGCUUGACUGCGAGCGUGACGGCGCGAGCAGGUGCGAAAGCAGGUCAUAGUGAUCCGGUGGUUCUGAAUGGAAGGGCCAUCGCUCAACGGAUAAAAGGUACUCCGGGGAUAACAGGCUGAUACCGCCCAAGAGUUCAUAUCGACGGCGGUGUUUGGCACCUCGAUGUCGGCUCAUCACAUCCUGGGGCUGAAGUAGGUCCCAAGGGUAUGGCUGUUCGCCAUUUAAAGUGGUACGCGAGCUGGGUUUAGAACGUCGUGAGACAGUUCGGUCCCUAUCUGCCGUGGGCGCUGGAGAAUUGAGGGGGGCUGCUCCUAGUACGAGAGGACCGGAGUGGACGCAUCACUGGUGUUCGGGUUGUCAUGCCAAUGGCAUUGCCCGGUAGCUAAAUGCGGAAGAGAUAAGUGCUGAAAGCAUCUAAGCACGAAACUUGCCCCGAGAUGAGUUCUCCCUGACUCCUUGAGAGUCCUGAAGGAACGUUGAAGACGACGACGUUGAUAGGCCGGGUGUGUAAGCGCAGCGAUGCGUUGAGCUAACCGGUACUAAUGAACCGUGAGGCUUAACCUU
rnacentral:rRNA from 1 species